CGGCCGGAUUGCAUCUCCCUUCACCACAGCAGACACUUUCGGUAUCGAACAUCCGUUGGUUUUAUAUUACUGAACUAUGGGAUUGAAGCAUUAUCGUUUCCAUUUAUGCAAUAAUACAUAACAUUAACUUUUCCAUUGGUAAAGUGGUAAAAAACAAAUAAAUAAAAGGCUACACAACACAACUGGGAAACUGAGGUCAUACGCGUUUGCUUCUUGUAAACGUUCUGCAAUAUUCCCGCACCCGAUACUUAAAGCUCGGCAGCAAGGUACGCCCAGCGCAUAUCGUCACACCACCACCCCGAUCCAACGUCGACUCUUCGUAUACUCUCUAUAUCGUCUCGGCUACUGAUCGUCUCGCCUCCACAUUUACUGACACCGGUCGACCGCCCCCUCCCUCCCUCCGUGAACCUACAAUGGGAAUUAUUUUCAUACCAUCAUACACGAGUGCCAUAAAGUCUAUGGUGAGGUUGCCCGAUACUGGAUGGAAUACCUCGCUUCCUUCUAGUGUGCUCGAUCUCUCACGAUCUUCAAGAUUAGCCGCAGUUGUACAAGUAACCCCCAUCCCCUUUAUAACCAGGAACACCGUUGGUGGAGCUGCUAGCGCCACAACAAAUACGGCCGCCGUCUCCAAGUUAUCUGAACCCAACACUUACGCCCGAGAGAGAGGAGAACAUCCAAAACGUGCUAGGGAGGUUUCUGAUCCAUCACCGAAUGGUAACGCUUCAACGGAGAGCAAAGGAGCCUUUCCUGAGAGGUCAGACGCAAAAGCAGAUGGAAGACUUCAUGCCGAUAACCAGCCAUCUUUGAGUAUCACUUCACAGUCAGAAAUAUUAAAACGGUUCAAGUCCUACCAAACAGUACCAAGAGAAGAAAGUUCAUCCAAAAGAUUUAAAUGCGACCCCUCUACGAACACCCAAGUCUCAAGUUCUGUUUACAUGGUUACUGUCGGCAAUUCUACUUCAGGGGCCAUGGUCCUACAAAACGCCCCUCAGUCACUAGCCUUGCAAGUGAAUGGCAAUGGUUCUCGACAGACUGAACCAACACUAACAAGGCUGCAACGAGAGGCCCAAGAACUGAGGGCUGUUAAUAACCAACUAAAACAACGUUUGAUCAACUAUCAAAACCUCUUCAAGGACAAACAGAAGCUUCGAGCAGUGGUUAAUAUUAUUUAUAAAACUCAACCCCAAGCUUAGAUUUACAAACUAGAUUACUGAUAAUGAGUAACGGAUUUUAUAAGUCUCUCUCACUAACAGGUUUGUGAUUCAUGACUAAUUUGGCUGCAAUAUGGGAAUAUAAAAUAUAUUUCCUUCUCAGUAAAAAAACAAAAAAAUAAAAA